UGGGGAAUUUUGGACAAUGGGCGCAAGCCUGAUCCAGCCAUGCCGCGUGCGGGAAGAAGGCCUUCGGGUUGUAAACCGCUUUUGUCAGGGAAGAAAUCUUCUGAGUUAAUACCUCGGGAGGAUGACGGUACCUGAAGAAUAAGCACCGGCUAACUACGUGCCAGCAGCCGCGGUAAUACGUAGGGUGCAAGCGUUAAUCGGAAUUACUGGGCGUAAAGCGUGCGCAGGCGGUUUUGUAAGACAGAGGUGAAAUCCCCGGGCUCAACCUGGGAACUGCCUUUGUGACUGCAAGGCUUGAGUGCGGCAGAGGGGGAUGGAAUUCCGCGUGUAGCAGUGAAAUGCGUAGAUAUGCGGAGGAACACCGAUGGCGAAGGCAAUCCCCUGGGCCUGCACUGACGCUCAUGCACGAAAGCGUGGGGAGCAAACAGGAUUAGAUACCCUGGUAGUC
rnacentral:rRNA from 1 species